GUCCGUGUCUCUUUGAGAGUCGUGUGUGCGCUGAAAAUGGCCGUGUUUUAACCAGAUUUAUCAAGCCAUAUAAUUUCAAACGUAAAUUUUUCCCGCUUAUCUCGCUUGCCGUUUCGUAUUGAAACUGGUUCUAUUCUGUGAUAUUACUUCAAUAUUGUUGUACACCGAGUGUCAUUUAUUCAGUGCCGUGCCUUCGACAGGCUGCUGGAUAAGAUGACUAUUGGUACCGAUUGGUCGAUUAGAUUUUGGAGGUUCUAAAGUGGUUAAUUUUUCAUUCAAUCUUGGAUGUCUGGAAGAAAUGAAGGGCCUAGCCCUUGAUGACCCACACCGACUGGCGACGAGUAUCGGUACUGGCUCGCUAGACACCAUUGAAGAUUAAAUCCGUCAAGAUGCGGGAGAGAUUUGUGACGAUACCUCGACGUGUCGAGGGGGUCUGAAUACCACAACUAUUGGUUCAAUUCGGUUCCUGCCUAGGAAUCAAGUCGAGGAUGUUUACUGAUUUACUUUUGUACAUGUGAAAAGAUAAAUUUACUGGACUGUACUAAUUUUUUUUUUUUAAUGUUUGUAUUAACGUUACAUUUGAUGAUAUAUCUUACAACGUUUGUGACAUUUUCACGUCUGCGUUAUGAAUCAUCUUCGUUAUUGAUUAUAAUUACUGUCUUGCGCUUUAUAUGAAAUAAUAUAACAAGGUCCUGUAUUAAUUAUUCAAUAUAAGUCUUAUAGUCAUUUGCCAGAAGCCUGACAUGCUUCAAUCAAUUAUAUGGACCAAGUCAAUUUCGUUUAUUUGUUAGUCAAGUUUUAGGGUGUAAUAAGUUCAAAAUGUCGUUUUUAUCAAAUUUGAAAAAAGCAUUCCACUUCGGUGGCAAUGACGCGAAGAAGAAAAAGUUGUUCAAUAAUAUUAAAAUGGAUUGCGACCCGGAAGAAUUUUGGGAAAUGAUCGGAGAACUUGGAGACGGUGCUUUUGGCAAAGUCUACAAGGCACAGAGUAAACAGACUCAGCAAUUGGCUGCAGCUAAAAUGUGUGCAUUAGAAGGUGAGGAUGACCUUGCAGAUUUCAUGAUUGAAAUUGAUAUACUCUCAGAGUGCAAGCAUCCAAACAUCGUGGAAUUACACGAGGCCUAUUUUAUGGAGGGAAAACUGUGGAUGUUGAUCGAGUACUGCGACGGCGGUGCCUUGGAUUCGAUAAUGGUUGAACUGGAAAAGGCUUUGACCGAGCCACAGAUAGCUUAUAUAUGUCAACACAUGACACAAGGACUGGCCUUUCUUCAUAAAGCCAAAGUUAUUCACAGAGACCUUAAGGCUGGCAAUGUUCUCCUCACUAUGGCAGGCGGCGUUAAACUGGCCGACUUUGGGGUUUCCGCAAAAAAUAAGCACACCCUCCAGAAGCACGACACAUUCAUUGGAACGCCUUAUUGGAUGGCACCAGAGGUUGUUCUGUGCGAAACGUUUAGGGACAAUCCUUAUGACUUCAAAGUUGACAUAUGGUCGCUGGGCAUUACGUUGAUUGAAUUCGCUCAAAUGGAACCCCCCAAUCAUGAGAUGUCACCGAUGCGAGUUCUGCUGAAAAUCCAAAAAAGUGAUCCUCCAAGGCUUGAUCAGCCUGGGAAAUGGAGCAAGGAUUUCAACGAGUUUGUUGCCAAGGCGUUGAUAAAGGAUCCUGCGGCACGACCUACAGCCGACGAGUUACUUAAACAUCCAUUUGUCAAUCGUACUCUGGAUUCCAAGCCCGUCCGUGACCUGUUACUCGAAUAUAAGGCUGAUGUGGUUGAAGAGGAACUCCUCGACGAAGAUGCUGAGGAGCAGCGCACAUCGCAACUGCCGCUGGAGCUGGACCAACUUGGAGAUGACUCCGCCUCCCUGCGCAGCGACAACGACGUUAAAUCAGCUGAGAAGGAGAAUGUCGCUGCAGCAUCUGUGCCACACGAAAGGGAAGAGAGUAAUAAGAGGGAGGGUGAGCGCGAGGGUGAAAAAGAAGAAAGAAACAAAAAGUUGCGAAAAGCUGAUUCCAAAGAGAACAUUUCUGUAUCUGUUGAGAAAAAGUUGGCACCCAAGCCACCUGUGGGAAACGAGUCGAACGAACGUCGAAUCUCCAGGGAAAAGGGUCCCGCGCCCUUACCACCUGGUGCCACGACACGUCACGACACUGGCAAGGCAGACGAUAAGGAGAACAUUCCAAAACCAUCAGUUACUGAAAAGAGCAAUACCGUAACUCCUGUGACAAUGGACAACGAAAAAUCUAUUGUUAAUAAAAAAGUGGAGAAAAAAUCUGUAUCUCAGAAUAACGAUGACGAUAGAGAUAUCAAAAAAGUUCCGGCACAGAUCGUUGGUGAAGAACAAAACCAUCAUAUUCCUGUCGAGGCGCGUCGCAGUGAGGAGGGUGCGGAUAAACCAAAGUCUAUGCUCAAUGAAAAGCCAGUUGGAGAGAAGAAAAAGCCACCACCAGAAAAGCCUAUGGAUGUAGAAGUUAGAAGAAGAUCUAUGGACGAAAAGAUGAAACUCCCAGCAGAUAAGCAACAUUUGAGUAACGAGGACAAACGGAAAUCAGCACCAGUUAAACCAGUCCACGCUCCUGAUGGCGUCAAAGAACCAGUUUAUGUUAGACAAACUUCGGUGGAGGAGCGAAAAAGGCAUGAAAAGAAGUCAUUGAUUGAAGAUCAACGACCAAAAUACGACAUAAGGUACGAUGCGCGACCAGUCACAGACGAAAAUUUCCAAAGCCUGGACGAAAAACGGAAAUCUGUUGAAGAUAAACUGAAUGCUGUUCUUGAAAAACGAAUUUCGAUGGAUUCCGCAAAACGGCACUCGGAUCACGCGUCAAUCGAAACACUGAAACGCAUUUCAGGAACAAGCACAAUUUCCCAACUUUCGGGAAAACGCACACCAAAAUCGAGCUCUACUGCCGAUGUUAACUCAGACCUUGGCACUCAAACAACUCUUUUGAAAAGUCGAAGUCAAGAAGCAUCGAGCAAUGAUUCGUUUGGCAAUAAUGUUUUGAGGUCGCAGUCGGGUGAAAUUUAUAGGGGCAGUAGUCCGGAUUGGAAGAGAGAAAACCAAGCCCGAAAAGAAAAAAGUUCCGGUGAUACAGUAGACAGGUCAGAACAUAUUCACAGGAGAGGUUCGUCCGCCGGGUCAGGAGUCGCUGUUGUGACGUCAACACCAGUGAGGAGCCGUAGUGUAUCCAGAAGCGGCAGUGGAGAUAAUGUUGUCGUUAUUACCGGUAAAACAAAACCCUCUGAACAUCAAGAAGAUAUACGAUUCAAUAAAUCCAUGGUACGAAUAACUCCAGAUACACCUGAUCCAUCGAAUAGUUUGGCCAGCAAUGUGAGCCAAGUUACCGUCGUAACAACACAUCCUCCUGUGCUUGUCGAUGCCACAGCAACUCCACCUCCGCCUCGACACCAAUCCCCGACAUCUGAAGUUGUAAUCGUUGCCAAUGAGACAAACAAAACCCAGGUAAAUGAGAGUUCGACUGACGAUGAUGGGUUUACAAGCUUGGAUAGCCUUGAAUACACGCCACAGGAACAGCCAAUUGUAAUAUGUGCCACCGAUACUUCCAAACGUGUUGGCAAGAAACUGGAUGAGUCGGAAGUUGUCAUAGUAAGCCCGAUUGUUGAUGACGAAUUGAUGGAUACCAGCCAUGUAUCUGUAGUUACCGUUGGUGAUGACAAAGAGCGAGUGAAAGAUUCAUCUGUUGUUGGCAAGAAUAGUAAUACUGGCACAUCAAUGGCAGAUCAUGUUAAUAGUAGUAAUAGUAGGAGAAGAAGGAGGAGGUCCAGUUCAAAGAGUGACAGCGGCGACGAGAUGCUAACUCCACCUCGUAUGUCGGUGAUGGUUGCUGGAACUACAGUUGGGUCGACAGAUGUCGAUGACCUUGCUAGCCCUACGAAGCUGAUGCCUAAUGGUAUUGCAAAUGUACGCAGCGAUGGUACGGCAGCAGGACCUUGGUCAACGAUGGCGAAGCAUACAAAUGAGUCAAGAGAAGAAGGUGGAGGUAAAGCAUUAAAGGAUAAACGCAUCUCACCUGACAGUAGCUGUAGUAAUGAAGGGAACUCGUCACAUCGGUCCAACAGCGAUGAGGGAUCAACCAGGUCUCACACACCUAGCAAGAGUGUCGACAGAUCUGAUGCGGAAUCUAUAUCAACGACAAUAAGCCAGGACAGCCGAGGUUCGAGCCGAGACAACCACUUGGGAAGAGAUUCCCGGCAAUCGUCAGAAAUUGACGACGAAGUUGUACUUAGAAGAAAACCUCCCGAGUACACGAGAGACGCACCGAGACAAGCGAGGACAAAGGAAGAUAUUCAGAUUAUGAAUCUUAAGAAAAAGACACGAAAGCGUACGAGAAAGUUCGAGAUUGAUGGCGUUGUAGUUACAACUACUACAUCAAAGGUGAUAUACGGAGAUGAUGAAAAUGGCAAGGUGUACGACGACCAGAUAUUUCGUAAACAAGAACUACGGGAGCUUAAGAUGUUACAAAAAAUGGAACAGAAACAAUUUCAGGAUCUAUCGCAGAAAUCGCAAUUCACCAAGGAUCAGCAGGAGAAGCGGUUUGAACAAGAGAGGCUUAUGUUGGAACGUGGGGCAGAAGGUGACCUCGAUACGUUGGCCAGACAACAGCGUCAACAGAUUGAAAGGGCUGAGACCCAACAAGAGGCUGACCUGAGGCUUGCGUCAAAAAAAAUCCGUAGUGAGCAAGAACGUGAGUUGAAACAAUUUCGCGAAGGGCUGAAGCAGGAGCUGCGACUGCUCAAGCAGGAGGUUGACCUUAUGCCUAAAGAAAGGCGAAAGAAUGCGUUUAAGAUGCGGAAGGAUAAACUCGAAGCCGAACACGAAGCUAGGGAGAAGGUAUUUUUGGAAAAGUUGAAUGAGAGCCAUGAGACGUCGCUGAGGAGGCUAUCAGACAGUCAUCGUGAGAGGAUUGCACUUAUGGAGAGACAAUUCUUGCAGCAGAAACAGCAGCUCAUGAGGGCAAGGGAAGCGGCGAUAUGGGAACUUGAAGAGAGACAAAUCAAAGAGCGUCAGCAGCUACUGAAGCGACAACUGAAGGAUAUAUUCUUUUUGCAAAGGCACCAAAUGCUGAUAAGGCAUGAAAAGGAGCUUGAGCAGAUGAAGAGAAUGAAUCAGCGUAAGGAAGAGGAGCUUGUCAAACGUCAGACUGUUGAACGUAGGAAUCUUCCCAAGAGAAUACGCACAGAGAUGAAGGCUAGGGAGAUGAUGUUCCGCGAAUCAAUGCGUAUAUCAAUGACUGCUGCUCUUACCCCUGAUCCAGACGCUGAGCGUGAUAAGUUGAAAAAAUUCCAAGAGAAUGAAAAGAAGAGAUACAGGGCUGAACAGCAAAGGUUUGAAUUAAAACACGCCAGGCAGCUCGAGGAGUUGAGGGCACAGAGCGAUGCUUCCAUCAAGGAGUUGGAACAACUUCAAAAUGAAAAGCGAAAAAUGCUUAUGGAGCAUGAGACAAUGAAGCUCAAGGAGCAGGAGGAAUCCUACACGAAGGAACUUCGAGAGUGGAAAGCACAGCUUAAACCACGAAAGCAGAAAAUAGAGGCUGAACUGGCUACAGAAAUGGAAGCCCUGGAAUCACGUUAUCCAGGUUCAUUACCGACACGUCUCAGCGACCUUUCAUUAAUCUCCUUAGACACUUCUCGCGGUGUCAGUCCCGUCGGCAUGGCUGUUGAAAUAACAACGACUACGGGCAUGUCCAACAGUUGGCGCAGGUCGCCUCGUUCUUUCGCAUCCACUUCCAGAGCUAAUUCCUACAUCAAACCUCAGCCAUCUCCAUCAGCAUUUAGUUUACCUCGUGUAUCACUCAAACAUCCUGGUUCCGAAGGGGAUGCUACUUCAUUGUCUGGGAUUGAGGGUGCUAGCCUUGACAAGAAAUCGGCAAAUCCCAACGAAUUCCGCCCACUUUCCUUGCGUAAAUGAUCCUGGCUGACUAUUUCACGUCAUUCCAUUCUUGUCGUAUUGUUGUACAUCGUUUAUCAUCUUUGAAAAUGCUCCAUUCAUUUCUAAGCAUUUGCCGCUGCCGUAAUCGUCUUCACCUACUAUUCUCGAUAGCACACUCUGUAGACUACGGUCUAAAGAGUAUCUAUAUUUUUUUCAUUCACUAUCAUUCCUACACAUGCACUAGCGGUGCAAAUCGAGUAAUCAUAUUUCUGUAUUCAUCAGUAGCUACCAUUUUUGUAGUGGGAUUCAAAUCAUUAAAUAUUGCAACAUGUUUUUUUGGUUCUGAAUAUCUUUGCGUUGUUUAUGUUUGUCGAACUAUGGAUGUUUUCACACAGUUAUUUCGCUAUCUAUAGGUAUACAUUCAUAUGUAUAUUUAUAUCAAGUCGUAUCAUCAAGGGUUUGUGGUUUGGAAAUGUCCGUGCUUGUAUGUAUAUAUAUAUUAUAUAUAUUAUAUAUGUAUAUGAAUUUGUGUAUAUAUUUUUGUUAUGUGAAAUUGUACGCUGUUCACAUCCUUUAAUACCACUCCGAACAACUGUAUUCGAUGGCAUUGAGUACAGGUAGAAGAUUUAUCCGAGAAUCGUUAAUACUCGAAUACCAAAGAGACUAGAAGAACAAUUCGCUCAACAAUUGGAGGUACAGGAGGCCAUUUAUGGACCGUCGGCGGUGCCUCUAUGCUUGCCACCAGACCUCCCAGAUCUGCCUGAUCUUCCAGAUCUAACCCAUCACACCGUUGUAGCCGG
rnacentral:misc_RNA from 1 species